UUGCUCUGUCUGGAGCCCUGGCUGCCCAGGCUCAGCUGGCCGCGGCUGUCAAGGAGGACCGUGCGGGCGUGGAGGCCGAGGGGUCCAGAGAGUGCAUCUCCCUCGCCCCCUGAGAGUCUCGUGGAGGAGGAGCGACCGAGUGGCCCUGGUGGUGGCGGGAAGCAGAGAGCAGAUGAGAAGGAGCCGUCAGGACCUUAUGAAAGCGACGAAGACAAGAGUGACUACAAUCUGGUGGUGGACGAGGACCAACCCUCAGAGCCCCCCAGCCCGGCUACCACCCCCUGCGGAAAGGUACCCAUCUGCAUUCCUGCCCGUCGGGACCUGGUGGACAGUCCAGCCUCCUUGGCCUCUAGCCUUGGCUCACCGCUCCCUAGAGCCAAGGAGCUCAUCCUGAAUGACCUUCCCGCCAGCACUCCUGCCUCCAAAUCCUGUGACUCCUCCCCACCCCAGGACGCGUCCACCCCCGGGCCCAGCUCGGCCAGUCACCUCUGCCAGCUCGCUGCCAAGCCAGCGCCUUCCACGGACAGCAUCGCCCUGAGGAGCCCCCUGACUCUGUCCAGUCCCUUCACCACGU
rnacentral:sRNA from 1 species